ensembl:lncRNA
AUGUACUGUACAUGUGGAAGAAUUGACAAUAAAGCAGACUUGACUUGUUCCAGAACAGUUCAACCCAAAUAUUCAGAUGUGUGCUGCGCAUUUAAUGGAGGACAGUUUCCUGUUCCUGGGAGAGUAGACUACAAUGCCGGCUGUUCUGAAUCACAGUCUUGGCCUCACACCGAUGCAUCUCGUCUGCACUACAAGAGCUGCUUCACGCUGCAAUAUGAGACUUUCACUCACGUUUCGGGACAGUUAACAGAACUGUCAGUUCAACUGUUGCAUCGUCACUUACUCAAGUGCUCCAAAGGCUUUCUGUGCGCUCACGCUGACCUCCAAAGCACGUUGUGCAGAAGGACAGAAAUGGCAGCUAUCACGGGACGACGGCGAAGAGGCAGUGAGGGCAGAAGAAAAGCCAAAAAGAAAAAACACUCCAGCAGUAAGAACAAAUCUGAGAAGAGUCUGAGGACACACCUGACAUUCUACCUCCACUGGUGCCUGAUGUUUUUCCUGCUGCUUGACCUGCCUGGUGCUGCUUCUUUAACAGUGACGGGACAAAAGGGCGGCAAUAUUACUCUGCCGUGUAAUUCCAGCAACAAAGAGGAUUUAUCCACUGUUCUGGCAUUUUGGUCCAAAACUGCUUAUGGUACUGGUCAGAGUAAAUAUUAUGAGCACCGUGUGCACAAGAGUGGCAACUGUGAGCUCAUUCUGCAAGACUUGAAGACCACUGAUGCUGGAAAAUAUAACUUUAAAGUUUAUGCCAGCGGUCAACUACUAGGAAGCUACAUUUUUGACAUCUGUGUUAAUGUUCAUGUAACAGCACGGGUCGGUGAAGAAGUGAUGUUUGAUGAUCUGCCGCGUGAUGCUGAGAGCGUUGAGUGUUUAACAAACACCGGCUCGAUAGAUGUGUGGAGGAGAGAGCAGGGUGUCCUGACUGAUCGACUGACUGACAAUGAUGGUCACCUGAUCAUUAAAAACUUCAGAUCAAGUGACGCUGGAACAUACAGAGUCCUGGACUCAACAGGAGGAGUCCUGGUCACCGUGACGCUCACAGAAUGGGGUACAGAAUCAAAGGACAAACAGGACAGCACACGUGAUGACAAAACUGAAAGCACUAAAAGAGUUUAUGUCUGUAUUGCGGUGCUGGUUCUGGUGGCUCUGAUUGCGUUUACUCUCUUCAUGAUCCAUCGAUGUCUGAACAGGAACAAGGCACAAGAAGUGCCAAUGCAAGAAACUGCACAGGGGCCCGGAUCACCAAACAACAGCAGUGGUCACUUGGUAGUUUGUUUUCAGUGCCAACAGAUCUGCGGAGGAUCCUGUCAACAUAUCAUUCCUGACUGUAUCAGUUGA